rnacentral:rRNA from 1 species
AUUGAACGCUGGCGGCAUGCCUUACACAUGCAAGUCGAACGGCAGCACGGGUGCUUGCACCUGGUGGCGAGUGGCGAACGGGUGAGUAAUACAUCGGAACGUACCUUAUCGUGGGGGAUAACGCAGCGAAAGCUGUGCUAAUACCGCAUACGCCCUGAGGGGGAAAGCGGGGGAUCGCAAGACCUCGCGCGAUUAGAGCGGCCGAUGCCUGAUUAGCUUGUUGGUGGGGUAAAAGCCCACCAAGGCGACGAUCAGUAGCUGGUCUGAGAGGACGAUCAGCCACACUGGGACUGAGACACGGCCCAGACUCCUACGGGAGGCAGCAGUGGGGAAUUUUGGACAAUGGGGGCAACCCUGAUCCAGCAAUGCCGCGUGAGUGAAGAAGGCCUUCGGGUUGUAAGGCUCUUUUGUCAGGGAAGAAACACCGGCUCUAACACAGUCCGGGAAUGACGGUUCCUGAAGAAUAAGCACCGGCUAACUACGUGCCAGCAGCCGCCGUAA